rnacentral:pre_miRNA from 1 species
ACCGCUGAGCCAUCUCUCCAGUCCCUAAAAAUACCUUUUUAAAAAUAAAAAAAAAAGGGGGGGGGGCUGGAGAGAUGGCUCAGCGGU